UCCUCUCUCAAACCUCCGGGUUUGGUGUUGGACCGCGUUGGCCGCAAGGUCCAACUGGUCUCAAAGACAAUGACGGCGUCCCAGGGACCCUCUUCGCACUGAGUUCUCCGGAGCACGCGUAGAGUUUCAAGGGCCCAGGGACCCGGUCGCCUCUAAAAACUUUUUUCA
rnacentral:misc_RNA from 1 species